GCCUACAUGGUUCAGUUGGCAGAGCACGUGACUCUUGAUCUUCGGGUCAUGAGUUCAAACCCCAUGUUAGGCA
rnacentral:tRNA from 1 species